AAAAAAAAAAAUAGCUUCCUGACAUGCUCUCAGCCGAGGGUCUGACCUUCCUUUCAAUCCACUCUUGCCUCAAUUAACAUUGUAAAAGGCAAAUCUGGUCAUGUCAUUUCCUUGUUUAUAAUCCUUCAAAAAUUCUCCAUUAGCUUGAGGAUAAAAGGUGGGCUUUUCAACAUAGCAUAUUCUUCCCUACUCUGUUCAUGCUAUUUCUCUAUGCCCAUCUCUUGCCUCUUCAAUGCUUGCCAUGCUCAAUUCACUGUGCUUUCUCCUCCUGCAGCCUCUGAGCAUGCUACUCUGCCUGAAAGGAUCUUUUCUUUCUUCAUCUGGCUCAAUUUUGUCGUUUCUUCAAGACUCUGCUCUGGACACCUCCUUCAGGAAGCUUUCCCCGUCUGACUUUCCUCUCCACCAUCCAUCGUCACCUGCAGACUGUGUUAAGUGCUGUCCUCAAUGUUUCCUUCAUGACAUUAUGCAUUAAAAUUGUUCAUUUAAUAGACAGUGUUUAGUUUCCAGUGAACUUUAAGCCUCUUGAGGGCAGGAAAUGUGUCUCCUCCGUUUGUAACCUCCAAGUUUAGCUCAGCCCACGCAUACUGAAGAGUCAGUGACUGCUUAGUGAAUGGAUAUUAAAUUACUAUUUAACGGUAUUUACUUACUAUUGCUAGUACUUACUAUUAAAAGGUAAGUGAGUGAUAGAGAAUGCUGGAGCGGGAAGGGCCUUGGUGCUCUAGAGAAGGGUGGGGAGGGUGUUCCAGGUGAUGGGCAGAUCUUGAGCCAAAGUGCAGGAGUGAGAAGGUGAGUGAGUUUGAGAGACUGUGAGGAAUCAGCUGGUGUUUUGGAGGAAAGUACACUCAGGCAGGCGGAGGCCAAGUUUGGGAGGCCGCUCCAGGCCAGGCUCAGCAGCUUCUCUUCAUUGAAUGAACUCUUGCCACCACUUAACGCUUCAUUGCUGUCAAAUGAACUUGUUUCCUAAACAUUUACUAAGUCCCAACAGUGUGCAAGAUAUUAGAUAUAACUGUAUAAAAUUUGAUUCAGCUAUGUGAAUUUUGACUCUUUGGCUAGAUUGUAAGCCUCUCUGAGGGCAAGGACAGUCUUUUUAAACUACUUGGUCACUAUUUUUUUUUAUUAGUCAACCAAUACUUACUGAGAAUCUGCUAUGUGCUCGGAGCUGUGACAGAUGUAUACAAAGGAUAACAAGACACUCUUGUUUUGAUGAGGGUGACACCAAUAAACAAAUGUUAUAACGUCACAUGUAAGUGCUCUAUGAGAGCUAUUGAAGUGGUGUUUAGGGAGCAUGGAUGAAGAAGUUAUAAAUGAUCUGUGGGGAGUCAGGACAGACUCUCAGAGGGGAUAUGCGCUCAGCAUACAUCCCUCCAUUUACUGUCCCAAUUGAGGAAUUUCCUCUACGCAUCUUGAUAGGAAGUCUUCACAUUUCUUUAAGUGCUGCUUGUAGCAACAGAAAAUGUUUUUCCUUUUUUUCCAUUUUGAACCAUUAUCUUGGGUGGGAAGCUCUUUCCUCUAAUGUUGUUUGCUAUCUCUCUCCCUGUGAUGUUAAUUCAUUGAUUCCAGUUCUGCAGCUACACAGAAUAAGUCUAAUUGAAAGAAAUAACUGUCCUUUCCCAAAAACAUCUUCAGUUCUUUCAACCAUUCCUCAUUUGAGCUAGUCUCUAGACAGUUUUUAGGCCUGUUAUUUUGGGUUUCCCUAUUUCACAACACACUUGCAGAAUUGCUAGAUGCCUUGAUGUUUGCAUUUGUAAAACAGUUUUGGAAGCUCAAUAAACAAGUGCCAUUAAUAUCUUCAAAUGUUAUGCUGCUCUCUAGAAAAGAACGUGAGGUGACUAAAGCAGUGUAGCCAUUAUGUCAGCCCCAAAGCACUGCAUGGAGUUGUGGAAAAUCUCCUGGAAGGGGCCUCGGAGACUCACCUCGUCCAGUCUCCUCAUUGUGCAGAUGGUGAAGCGGAGAUCCAGACAGACAAAGUGGCUUUAAAGUCUGCACAGUUAGUUUAUGGCCCCGAUCUUUGUGUUUCUAGUCAGUAUUUGAAGACAGGGCAUAGGAGAGUUUGAGAGCUCAUUGAAAGAUGAAAGUGCAGUAAUUAUUUAUCCCAAUUAAAGGGGAAUCUAAAAUACUUGCUGAAAGCAUUUUCCAAGUAACUGUUUAUAUAAUUAAUGCUGUUGCUUUUUCUCCCUUUCUCAAAGCCUCAGGGAGUGCCUACUCUGACCCACGGCUUUAUCUGCUGUGGACACUCUUGUACGUCUGUGGUUUAUUGGGUAAUGAUUUAUAUUUGCAAGGGAAUGCUUGACUGGCAUGGGCUGGGUUAGCUCAGCAAGAGAAACUUGCUAAUGAAGCCAAGGUUGAGGGGUUCGGUCCCUAUGAGCCCCUUAGCUUUGCUGUGAUCCUUAGCUGUGGCUGAUACCCCUAAUCCCCACCAGUCAUCUCACACGUGUGGGCUUUUGAAAGCAGGAGGGGCCUGGAUGCAGUGAAGAAGGCUCAUUUCUUCCAGAUGCUCACCUGCAAUGGAAAGCUACAUAUGCAGUAAGUAAUGAAGGGGGUGAUGAUAAUUAUUAUAGCUAACGUUUAUAGAGCACUAAAUAUGUUGCAGAAUCAUGCAAGUGUGCUUAUAUUUAUCUAAUUCUCACAACUCUACCAGGUAAGUACUAUUGUGAUCUCCAUUUUAAAGAUGGGAAAGUGAGGCUUGGGAUAGUCAACUGUUCAAGUUUAAUUGACUAAUAUGCAAUAGGGUAGAGCCUGCCUGGGAUUUGAAUUUGAGUCUUUCUGACUCCAAAGUCUACAGUCUAAUCGAAAAAUCCAACAUUACCAUUGUGAAUGCUUGGUUAUGUACUGGUUAUCUCUGAGUUCCAAGUCAUAUAUUAAUUUGUCCGCUCUUAUUUUAUUAUUAGUGGGAUUGACAGGCAGUAUGCUAUACUGCUUAAGAGCAUGCACUCUGAGGCCAGAGUUCUUGGGUUCAAAUCCUAGUUCUAUCAUGUGUUAACUUUGUGACCAAGAGCAAGUUAUCAAACCUCUUUGUGCCUCGUCUUUCUCAUUUGUAAAAUGGAAAAAUAACAGCACCUACUUCUUGCAUUUCUGGAGGGAGGAUUAAAUUAGUUAAUAACAAUAGAAGGUUUAUAUAGCACCCAGCAUUUGGUAUAAGGCUGGAUGACCUGAGAAGAAAAUCACAGCAACAUCUUAGCCUUUGAAAAAUGUGCUCCUUUACAUUGUCUUAUUUUUCCAGGUGGCAUCGCUCCCAGACUACAAGUCUGCAUGUUCACGAGGAGAGGAUGAGAAAGCUAGGCAGGCACGAAGAGCCACUGGGGAACGUGUCUUGAAAACAAGCAUGGAUUAUUUAAAAAAAAAUUCAAGAAGGUGCCCAUGUGAAAGUUUAAAUUUUCCUCCCACCAGCCCCCUCCCUCCUUUUUGAGCAUGCCAGGAACUCGUGGUUAUAGAAGGCCAUUGUGCAACCUCUUUUGCUGUGAGCACAGAGCAUGUAUAUUGCAUUCCCUCCUGUGGCAGGCCUGCUCCCAUGUUUGUUGUCUGGCUCCAGCCUCCCAUUAACAGAAUCCCUGGGGAAGGGCAGUUUCCUUACAUUAGGUAGAAAUGCUCUUGUUAAUGAUAAAUUGAUGAAAAGCUGCUUUUUUACAUUAGGUGAAUGGUCCUUUGAUAAUGGGGUUGGAAUCAGACCAAGGGUUUUAUUCUGUUUUGCUAGGAGAGUGAGAACUACCUAAAACAUUCUUUUUUCUUGUCUGUUACUAGAAAAUGACACAGUCAAAGCCUUUUGGCUUUCCAUUUUAACAGAACAACUCAAACUAUAUGCAUGUGACAGGUGGUUUUAUUCCUUUCUUCUUUCAUAUUGUCUGCAGGUAGGUGACAAGCUUCAAAAUAGAUCUUGGGGCUUCAUCAUAAACCAUGGCCCAGUGGUGGUCCACAGAUACCAGUUGGGCUGAGUGGUGAGGAUAUGCUUUCAACUGAAUUCUGAGUCCUUUCUUCCAUACUCAGGAGUGAAGUUACCCUCUCUAGGGAGGUCUUGUUGUCUGGCUCACUUUGAGAUGUCUGUGGUCAGCGUGGCCUGACCCUGGAGAGAGAACUGAGUUCUGGGUGGCCAGUAGAACUAUAACUGGAGUUCUAUUAACACCACAAACAAUUUGAUUUUUGCUUCACCUCCAGGUUGGGACAGAACAAGAUGAGCUGGAACUGAGGGACGAAGUUCUAUUUUCCAAGGAGCUGACCCCGUGGUGAUGAGUGCCUCGUUUGUCAGGAUUACCUAAAUAAAGGCAGGCUUGGAGGCCAGCAGAGCCUAGUUACAUAGCCUCCUUGGCUGUGGUCCAUGAGACAUCUGAGAAAGAGUCCCCUACCCUAGGGUAAAAGCCCCCUGGAAUUUCAUCCAAGGAUUUAUAAGAAAUCCUUUGGGAACUUCUUUAGGUUUCGUCCUAAACUACACACAUUGGAAACCAAUCAAAGUAGCACUGGCUUGUUGAUUUAGACCCAGGUCCUGUAUUGACAAGCGUAAUCUCCCUUUGGGAUAAAUUAGUGAAGGUGAGUACUUGGGAUAUGAUUAGUACGGAGCAAACAUUUUUUAAACAAAUAGUGUUUGUAUUCUGUUUUGGUUGAGAAACAAAUCUAUCUGUAGAGUUGCCUACCUGUAGAAUUGUUCCUUACUUAGUGUUUCUUCCCAAAAUGUUUAGAGGAGAAUAAGUCCUGGGUAGGGAUCCGUCUUGGGGAGCAGGAAAACAUUGAUUGAGUACCUACGGUAUGUUGGGCAUUGUGUUAGGUGCUUCGUAUAAAUCAUUUUUUAGGACAACUUUGUGAGGUAAAUUUGUAAAUCAGUUUUUUACUCAUUUUACCAGCAAACAAACCAAGACUUGUGAUCCAGUGGUUAAUACAGUCGCAGGGCUGGGAUUCUAACCGGUCUGACUCAAAUUUACUAUGUAGUGUGGUAUUAAUGAUUUGGAAGUUGAAUUUGAGGCGGGGUUUUAGGGAGUGUAGGCCACUGGACAGGGUCCUAUCCUGGGGAAUAUCAGCAGAGCCCACGUAGUCAAGUUUUCCAGUUGCACCCCUUGCAUGAGUUGCCUCAGGCACAAGGCAGCUAGGGAUCUUAUUUUAGCAGAAUUAAACUCUUUAAUGGAUUUUUCUCCCCAAGCCCUGAGAAUAUUUCAGGUCUAAGAAAUAGCUUCCUUUUCAGGAAGAUCUGUUUCACACAAUAGACCACAAGCAAAAUGUAUUUCUUGUCUCCUGAAAAAAAAAGGAGAUUAAUUAAAUUUUAUUUUUUUCUGCAUGUCAGGCACACCUUAAAAAAUGUAGUUCUUAAUUCUAUCUUGACAUGAAUUUAAAAUUUUGUGUAAAAUGACUGCUCUAGAAAAAGCCAAUGAAGGCAACGUUGGUAAGUGUUGAUAAUGCAUUGGUAAACGGACCCACAGUUCUGCUUGUCAAACUUCUCAUACUAAAGGGUGAUUGUGGAUUUGAAAGUGGGGGCCUUCCCUUUUCCUCCUUUUAGUACUUGGAGCUUGAAUAUUAAUAUUUCAGGUGAAAUAUAAGUUUCAGACUUGCAAAUUUGUGUCACGAAAUCAAAGGGAAGAGAGGAUUGUAAGAGCAGGGGGCAGGGGCUGGGUGGCAGAUAAGAGGACCUCUUAGUGUCAGCAAGAUGGAAAUCAACAGGAUAAUGAGGAUCACUAGAGUAAAUAAUUUCCAUUUUAUCCCCAAUAAGAAUAUUCCUUCCCUCACCUUUCAAAUUCCCUGCUCACCUCCUGUGCAUUCGAAACAAAUGAUUAUCUACUCUUCAUUCCUGAAACGAGCCCUGAAGUCGGGGUAGUCAUGGAAUUCUGAAGUGUUUCUCUCCAGGGCCCUCUGUCUUACGCUGGUAGACCAUGGGCAUUAACAUGUAUGUUGGUUUUAUACAUGUUUUGCAAAGCCCUAUUUGUUUUUAUUAUUUGAAUUUGUGAGCAUGGUAACACCUCCCAAAGUAUAUUAGGUAUUCUGAUCUUGAGGAUUCAUGGAUAACUCCGGAAUUUCUGCAGAAAAAGAGAUUCUGUAUAAUGUGUCCAGUUAAAACUAGCAGAAACACAAAAUGAAAUGGAUGGGUUGUUUGUACUCGUCCAUCUUAAAAUAACAUUUAUUUUUUUUCUGUCUCACUUCACUAGUACAGAUUCUGACAUUUUCUCUGGCCACAUCACAGGGAUGAUCUUGCCGCAUUUCUUAAAGUAGCCCUCCAAGUAUCUGGCAUGAGUUUAGCUCUUCUUUAUGGGAAAGACUCUGAAACAGCUGCACCAAGUUAGCCAAACUACCGUGAAUAGACACAAAGUAAAAUAUCUGCUUUAUUGCCAUUGGUCUUCAGUGGCUAGAGGGGAACAUCAGGACAGGCUAUUCAAAUGAGAUGGCACUCAUCACUUAGCUGAUUUGGCGUGAAAAUAAGCCACUUAACCAUGUACUGGGCACAUCUUUUCUCUCUUUCUUCUUUCAGUGUAUAGAAAGCAUCUCAGGUGAAGAUAGGAUCGGCACAUAGAACCAGUACUUUCCAGGAUGGGCAUCGCAAUGAGGCUCUGGCCGACAGACCUCCAUGAUGUGCAAACUGCCUUUGCUCACUGAUCUUGUCUACCUGGAAAAAGAUUUUCAAACAGACUUUGUCAGCUCAGCCUUGGCAUUCCUCGUCAAACAAAAGCAUGCCUAAAGACACAUUUCAAAAGAAGACCAUGCAGCACUUGCUAACCUGCAGAAAAUCGAAAAGAAACGUAGAGGCCAAGAACAAACAGAAUGGGAACCAAUGAGAAAUGGAGCACAGUUCCAAGAAACCAUUUCA